GUAGCUCAGUGGUAGAGCACUUGCCUAGCAAGUGCAAGGCCCUGGGUUCGGUCCCCAGC
rnacentral:tRNA from 1 species